rnacentral:lncRNA from 1 species
GAGUUCAUCCCAGGCCCCACUCUUACCUGUGCUGGACUCCUGGCCCCUGGACUCAGUGGUGUUAUCUGACUGGCCGCUCCAGGCUUCUGAGGGGGUGGUCUCUGGUCUUAAGUGCAGACAGCUCCCAGGCCUGGGGGUUGGGGUGGUGAGGAGGCUGAGUGACAUAUAAGUGACCCCAGAGCAGAGCAGAACAGAACAGAUAGCCCCUACUCUGGGGACACACGUUGUGUGACCCGAGGACAGAGGCGGAGGCGGUGGAAUCCGCUUGGGAGUGCACAGGGCUUCCAGGAGGAGUCCUUGUCAGACACAAGCCCUGAAGAAUGGCUAGUCCCUGAGCACUGGCAAUCCUGACCCACGGUGCGAUCCAAGCACAGCACGUGUGGUGUGCACGAGGGCCCUUGCAGAAAUCCGUGUGUGGUCUGUGCCCAUCCGGUCUCUCAAAAUCCUGGAGCUGGAAGGGAAGGCAGCUGGGGAAGCAGAACACGAAUGUGAAAGGCAUUUCAGAGUAAUGUGUAAACGUAAGCAGAUAAGAAGCAUGGUAGACAGAAGGAAGAGGCCAAGGACAGGAGGUCCCCCCCAUCCCACCAGGGCGAAUCGUCUGGUUAAGGUCCAGGCCUGAUGCAUCUUGGGAUUUGCUGAGUCACUAAAACACCUAACAUGCUCUGUUUUCCAAAGUCAGUGUUUUGGCAAAGGACAGACAUGACGUGGAAAGGAAAGUUUUCACGAACUUAGGAAUCAGGUUCUUCAUACACGUGACAGUGGAGGCUCAUCACCGAUCAACUAGAGUUAGACUCUGCAUCUGCAUGUUUAAGAGUUAACUAACCCUGGAUCCUUGACAUACAAUCCAAACAUACUCGUGGAAAUUCAGCAUCUUUGCGAUAGGCACAGAAAGCCUUAGCCAAGGCAGUGAAUCUCACUGACAUUCAAAGAAUUAUGUCUGACAACUGGAUUUUGAGCAAUUAUUCUUCCUCCUUGUUGGAUGGGGCCUUGGACCCAACAGUAAAUAUUUGUGGCCUCAAGUUGAGUAGAGACACAAAUAUAGUGUAACCCUCUAAAUGCUUUGCUAACCCUCACCAAGGAGUCAAGACCUCGCCGAUCCCUUCAUCCCCCACCCUGUCAAAGCCCAAGGCCGGCAGGAGCCUGGGCUCCCACUGAGCCGCCUCCUUCAGGCCACAGAUCUGCGAUGGCCACAGCACCUCUGUCUUCUCAUGCUAGCUCCGUCCUCAGAGAGAUGCCAGCAGGAUGGUACAAGCUCUGCCAAGGAAGGUCUUGGGAAAGUCAAGCAUCAUCAUUAUUAAUUCCCCGCUGUUUGCCUGGGAUGGAAGCCACUGGAGCACCAAUGGAAGAGUCUUGACUCCAAUAAAUAAACACGUCCUUUGGGCAGAUGUCUGGACUGCUCCGGCUGCUGACUGAUGGCCCCUCGCCAUGACAGUGGGCGCACAGGGACAGCCCAAAGGCUCUGCCUCGUCACAACAAGCAGGCUGGAACCUGGGCCCGGUUUUAGGGCCAUCCCUUUGAAAUACACUGACAGCUUAAUGAAGUGAUAUUUAUGGAACCCAUGCCACUGGGAAGACGGCUGCUCCUUUUCUCCGUCUUCUAUUUUUAAUAUUUGAUCUGGCAAAUGCAUUAUUAAAGGAAUAUUUCAAAUCUGAUUACUCUUCUGUUUGACUGUGUGUUAUUCACGCACGCUGGGCGCCAGGGGAAAUUAUACCGACCAGUCUGGGAGCUUUACGAUGUUAUUCUUUCAAACAGCCCUCUGCUCCGAGUCUGAUUAAUUCACGUGAGAGGCUGUGGGCCCCCUCGCCUUAAUCACAGUGGCCUCCUCCUUUCCUCCCAGUCUCCCUCAAGGCCUGUUCCGGACUCUUCUCCUGGGGCUCAGGAACCUCCUCUCUGAGAAGCGGUCUCCCUGGAUAUCCACAAAGUCGUUCUGCUGUGGUUUUGGUUAAUCAUUGAAUUGUUAACUGAGCCUCAGUCUUCUUCAUAAGGCACAGAACAGUGGGCAGGAACUCGGAGUGUGCCCUGACACGGCCUCACCUGGGUUUGAACCCUGGGUCCAGCCACAGGCGUCAUGGUCACUUUCCUGCACGUCUCGUCUCUCCACUUUUCCCUUUGCAAGAGGCUAGCUCCACCUUGGAAGUCUCAAGCCACCUGAUAAAUCUACCCCUGGCUCGGCCUUUAGCAGGGAGCCAGAGAGAGCCUUUGAGCCCCACAGGGAAGAACAUUCAUGGGGUGGGUGCCGCGUGGCCCUGCCAUGCCACUGGGACUCAGGCAAGAGGCUUCGUCUCCAAAGGCAGAGGGGCACAGAGACGAGACUGUAGGCUCAGCUCUCGCUGACCCACUGAAGCCCGUGUCCUGGCUCUAAGACUCUCUGGGCCUCACAAAUCCCAGGGACUU